AACCCAGACAGCUGCUAGGUAACUAACAGGGGUUAAAAAAAUGGUCUCCCAAAUCAAUGCCCUACAAGGAAUGGAUUUCUUCCUGUGCAAGCAAGUGACUUUGGUUCUUGGGAAAACCCCACUGGUUCAGAGACAAGAGAACAUCAUAACCUUGAGCUCUCUGGUGAAAAUAAAAGAUCGAUGCAAACUUGACUAUGUAAAAUUGGGGGACUUUUCAUCCAGAUGAGAAGACAAUGGAGUACUAUAAAUACAUGUGGCAUACUUGAGGAGAACUUAUUUUAUUCAAACAUUGAGAACCUUCACCCUGAGAGAAACCUCUUUAUGUGAAAAUAAAUAAAUUAAGAUGUGCCUUCAUGAGGAACAGGUUUCUCUGGCAAUCUCAAAGCUGAGAGUCUUGAAGACCAAAAGUUCAGCUGCCUCGUUUUUAAAAGUGCAGAAACAGAUGGACCCCAAGAAAAGUUCUCGACUCCUUGGCAGGAAGACAGUGGCUCUUUCAUCAAAGAGGAAUCUCCUAGGCAGGAAGAACCAGCAUCACCAAGUGGCUUUGCUUCAAAACUCUUUCCAAGACAUCCAUCAAGGGCAAGUGAAAGACGCAAACAUGCAGAUUGGGGUGGCGGGGGAGCUAAAUUUUAACCAGGUACUACUUCUCCCUAUUUCUUCCCUCUCUCUCUUCCUCUCUUCCCUUGUAAAAUUGUCCCUCUCUUUUUUUCUUCCCUUCUGCC